rnacentral:tRNA from 1 species
AGCCCGGUCGUCUAGUGGCCAGAUUCCAGGCUCUGGACCUGGAGACAGCAGUUCGAAUCUGCUCCGGGCUACCA